rnacentral:rRNA from 1 species
AUUGAACGCUGGCGGCAGGCCUAACACAUGCAAGUCGAACGAGGGGCGGAGGGGUGAGUAAUGUCGGUGACACUGCCCGAUGGAGGGGGAUAACUACUGGAAACGGUGGCUAAUACCGCAUACCAUCGGAUGAACCCAGAUGGCAUUAGCUAUUAGGUGAGGUAAUGGCUCACCAAGGCGACGAUCCAUAGCGGGUCUGAGAGGAUGAUCGGCCACACUGGGACGGAGACACGGCCCAGACUCCUACGGGAGGCAGCAGUAGGGAAUCUUCCACAAUGGGCGAAAGCCUGACGCAGCAACGCCGCGUGUAUGAAGAAGGCCUUAGGAUUGUAAAGCACUUUUAUUAGGGAGGCGUUACCUACAGAAGAAGCACCGGCUAACUCCGUGCCAGCCGCCGCGGUAAUUC